rnacentral:misc_RNA from 1 species
UACGUAGGUGGCAAGCGUUGUCCGGAAUUACUGGGCGUAAAGGGCGCGUAGGCGGACCGACAAGUCAGGGGUGAAAGGCCUGGGCUCAACCUGGGGACUGCCUUUGAAACUGUUGGUCUUGAGUCCGGGAGAGGAUGGCGGAAUUCCCAGUGUAGAGGUGAAAUUCGUAGAUAUUGGGAAGAACACCGGUGGCGAAGGCGGCCAUCUGGUCCGGCACUGACGCUGAGGCGCGAAAGCGUGGGGAGCAAACAGG